AGCAGCCGCGGUAAUUCCAGCUCCAAUAGCGUAUAUUAAAGUUGUUGCAGUUAAAAAGCUCGUAGUUGAAUUUCGGGGUUAGUAGGUUGGUCAUGCCUCAGGUAUGUACUGGUCUCACUGAUUCCUCCUUCCUGAUGAGCCGUAAUGCCAUUAAUUUGGUGUUGCGGGGAAUCUGGACUGUUACUUUGAAAAAAUUAGAGUGUUUAAAGCAGGCUAACGCUUGAAUACAUUAGCAUGGAAUAAUGGAAUAGGACGUUCGAUCCUAUUUUGUUGGUUUU
rnacentral:rRNA from 1 species